AACGAACGCUGGCGGCAUGCCUAACACAUGCAAGUCGAACGAGAUCUUCGGGUCUAGUGGCGCACGGGUGCGUAACGCGUGGGAAUCUGCCCUCAGGUUCGGAAUAACCAUUGGAAACGAUGGCUAAUACCGGAUGAUGACGUUAAGUCCAAAGAUUUAUCGCCUGAGGAUGAGCCCGCGUAGGAUUAGCUAGUUGGUGUGGUAAAGGCGCACCAAGGCGACGAUCCUUAGCUGGUCUGAGAGGAUGAUCAGCCACACUGGGACUGAGACACGGCCCAGACUCCUACGGGAGGCAGCAGUGGGGAAUAUUGGACAAUGGGCGCAAGCCUGAUCCAGCAAUGCCGCGUGAGUGAUGAAGGCCUAGGGUUGUAAAGCUCUUUUACCCGGGAUGAUAAUGACAGUACCGGGAGAAUAAGCUUCGGCUAACUCCGUGCCAGCAGCCGCCGUAA
rnacentral:rRNA from 1 species